rnacentral:rRNA from 1 species
AUUGAACGCUGGCGGAAUGCUUUACACAUGCAAGUCGAACGGCAGCACGGACUUCGGUCUGGUGGCGAGUGGCGAACGGGUGAGUAAUGUAUCGGAACGUGCCCAGUCGUGGGGAAUAACGUAGUGAAAAUUACGCUAAUACCGCAUACGAUCUAUGGAUGAAAGCGGGGGAUCGCAAGACCUCGCGCGAUUGGAGCGGCCGAUAUCAGAGUAGGUAGUUGUCGGGGUAAAGGCCCACCAAGCCAACGAUCUGUAGCUGGUCUGAGUGGACGACCAGACACACUGGAACUGAGACAAGGGCCAGACUCCUACGGGAGGCAGCAGUGGGGAAUUUUGGACAAUGGGCGAAAGCCUGAUCCAGCCAUUCCGCGUGCAGGAUGAAGGCCCUCGGGUUGUAAACUGCUUUUGUACAGAACGAAAAGGUUUCUACUAAUACUAGGAGCUCAUGACGGUACUGUAAGAAUAAGCACCGGCUAACUACGUGCCAGCCGCCGCCGUAA